AGUUGCAUAAAUAACGCAGCCACGCUUCGCGCGGAGCCGUUUCUCACACCGGGAGCCUGGAGGAUGCGACACAGAGUCCUGGGUCCCCGGUGGGCACUGCCCCUCGGCGUUGCUUCGCUCUGCACGUGCAAACCUGUUUGCUUCUAGUUUCCAAAGAACAACAACCACGAGCGUUGAGGGCAGCAAGCAGCCGGGAGGGGCUGGAAGAUUCUCCAUCUGCCACACGGAGGGGCUGCAGGAAACGGCUUCUCGGGGCCUGUGUCAGACCAGAGUCACCUCCGCCCUCGCGCGAGAGGCCAGCGUAAGGUGUGCAAGCAACCGUUUUUGCAGUCUUCCCCAACGGAGAGCUGAUAAAGGUGGAUGAGCAUGGAAUCUUCUUCAAGAGGAGCAGAGAGACCAGCCUGGCCUCACAGUCACUGGUGCGACCCCGCCCGUGGGGUGCUGCUCCGGCCAGAGGCCCUGAGACCCUUUCCAGGACACAGGAAAGGCUACGUUCCGGGAGCAGCCCUGGAGAGAACGAUUCAAUAGGGCCAACUCUCUGCAGAGCCGGUGCAUCCCGGUUCCCUAGAAACCACUCGCCCAUACUCCCUCCCCACGGUCUGCAGACUCCGGUGGGCACUUGGCACCUCACAGCCUCAGCAGCAGGACCCCUCCUCUCCCGCGCGUGGGGAGGUUGGGCACCGAGAGCGGAGUUCUGGGAAAGGACAUGGUUAAACAAGCUGGGGUCCAGCCACGCUGGGGAGUUCUGCUCAGCAAUAAAGACCACUGACGACUGAUCCACGGGAGCACCUGGAGGGAUAAACUCAUGAUUCCAAAGAAGGUAUGAUCUGAGGUGGGUGUGAUAGAUGCUUCACCCCACACCGUGCUCCCGCGGGCAAGCCUGACCCAGGGACCCGCGGUCCAUCACUCCGUGUGACAGCUGAAAGCCUUGUGCAAACCUACAAUGAGCUCAGAAAGUUUUUCAGCCCCGGCUGGGACCCUGCACGUGCGGGGACCUUCACCCCUGGGUGCGACCCCUGCACGUGCCUCGCGCGCUCAGCAUCCUCAUCCCGAGGCACGCCCGCACACACAGAGUGGUGGAUUUGCACAGUUUGGGUUAGAGACCUGCUCACGUUGAAUUUCAAACUCCGAGUUUGACCUGGAGUACUCCAAGUGAUGAUAUCAGAGGGGCAACAUUCUGCAACCUAACCUGGAUUUUGAGCCAGACCGUUUCCUGUGCCCCAGGCUUCUGCACUGGAAAUUUGUUACUGAAAAUGAACAAACAAGAAUGGGGUUAAACUCUGAAAGGAACAAAUAUUACUUUUGGCCAGAAUGUGGCCAUUAGAGCAAUGCGGAGCUGGGACCCUGGUACCCCACUUUUCUUUGGGGAUGGGGCAGUGCAUAGGGAGGGCUGGGGGCAGGGUGGUCCCCGAGUUCAGCCUGGUGCUUAACAGGAUGCAGUCUUGUGGGUAUACACGGAGCUCCUGAGGCAGGCCGGGAUCAGACUCUCUUCUGCCAGGGGGUGAACGUGAUGAACUUGGGAGUCAUGGUCCUGGAUCCAUGCUGGGGACAUGGCCGCAACUGCAGGCGGAGGGAAACCCCAGCCCUGGGCGCCAAGGCCAUCGCCCUGCCCCCGCCCAACGGCCUUCCCCUGUGUACAGAGCUGACUCCAGCUAGGGUAAAGGCAAUAGGAAACUGCUGGAAGGUUCUGGAAGCAAGGGAGAAGGCCUCCCCCUUGGCGCUCAGCUGAGGAACAGACAGGAGGGAGGAAGACCAUGUUCUCAGUGAGCUAUCCAAGGCACAUUGACCCCGUGGGCUUCCCUUGGGGCCUCGAUGACUCUUGGGCUCGGAUGGCCCUUGGGUGGACUUGAGUAAGGUCUACCUGCCACUAGCAGGACUCUCGACAAGCCGGGGGGACGGAGGGGCAGCUCUGGGCUCCCACCUACACUGCCCCCCCACGCCUGCCCCGCUCCACAGCCUCAGAGCUGGGAAUGCAGCCCACAUGCCGCACACCAUCAGGCUCCGACUUGAUUCGUGUCCUUGUUUGACUGCAGAUGGGGCUCCCUGCUACCCCCAGCGGGCCUCACCCUGACCUUUGCAAAUAAUGGCGCCCAUUUUAAUCAGUGAACUCCAGGCUCACAUACACGCAGGCCAGCAGGAUGGGCUGCUGGGUGUGCUCCCUCUGAGAGAAGACCCGGUCGGCCGAGCGGCCCUGCAUGCAUGGAACUGGCCGUGGGGAGACUUGCGCCCACCGCCGGCAGGACGGGAGCCACCCGCCCUCGGGGAGCCACAGGGCAGGGCACAGGCCGCAGGACUAAGCAGCAAAUACCAGGGUGCCAGGUGAGAGCCCCUCUUGGCAAAAGGCAUGGUGUAAUUUAGGCAAAAAAGCAUUUUAAUAAAGGAUUGUGUGAAAGAAGACAGAGCCCUUAAUCCAUUAUGACAGCUUUCCCUGGAAAGGCUGGGAGCCGGCUCUGAGAGUCAACCGGCUGAGCUGCCCCUCCUCGGGAAGUCACAGAGAGAAACGCGGGCGGAGGGGUGCAGGGAGCUGCCGCAGGGACCCUAGCCUGUCCAGGAAGCCAGAGGGUGACAGAUCGUCUCCUGCUGGACAGAAGGAAACCAGAGACACAGACCAAGGAGGAAGAGAGGGCAGAGAUGGUGGAGUGCGGGGCCGAGGGUCCCCCUCCUCGUUCCGAUGGAACAGAGAGCUGGUCCGGCUGCCCGAGCCCCACGACCCCCUGCCCGGGGAAGAGGGAGGUCCAGACAAGCGCCAUGCAUCCAGCUCUCCGCUGUCGGGCCUGGCGCCUGCAGUGUUUCCACAGUGACACGUGGCCGGGGUUCCUCCACAGAUCACCCCCACUAAGAGAAAGCCCCCCACCCCUGCUCGGACGGAAGGAGGACCCCGGGAGUGUGUCAGCAUGUAGCAGUUUGCCCUGGCACUCGGGGUGCUAGGAAUGAGGGGACGGGCUGUCCCAGGGUCUCUGCAGAAGUGACCUCGCCAUUUACUCCAUCCCGUGGCACAGAUACCUUCACGUCCCCAUGUGCCACGGCCUGGAAAAAGCUUGGGCAGCCGUGCUGUGAGGAACAGCGUGAACCUGGCCAGGACCAGCAUCACCAUGCGGGGGUAGCACCUGACGCUGCCUUCGGGGCCAAGGCCCUCCUGGAGAGCUCGCCGAGCUGGAUGGCCAUCCAGGGCCGGGUGGCCAAGGCGACUCGCCAUACUUUUAUGUGGGACAGUGUGCAGGGCCCCAGGUGCAGCCCUCUGGUGCAGGGCAGGGGGGAGGUUAGAGGUAGGAGGAGGGAGGGGCCAGAGUGAGCCGGGUCCCCAUCCACGGUCCCCAAGAGAAAUGGGGGUGUUAGCACCAGUCUAGGCUGUGAAUAGAGUCAGUAAGUGGCCACAUGGAGAAGCUGAGAGAAGCAGGAACCGUGUUAAAGCCCGAGCAUGGAAGGCACUGGAGGCAGAAUCUGUUCCAUUUUUGAAGUCUAGCAGAUAGGACAAGAAGAGAUAGGAAGCGUCAGGGUUGAUGCCACACUCAGUGGGCUCAGCCGGACAGACAGCAAUGGCCCAAGCCGAGAGCAGGACCUUGGGGGCAUUAGCAGCAUGAAGGAAGGGGUCAGAGAGGCCCAUGGGACUUCCGUUUCAUCCCUGAUGGAGCAGGUGCACACAGAUGUCUCACAGGGGAUGGACAGACCAUCACCGGGCUUCACGUAGAAAACAAAGCAACUGCACGUGUUCCCACAGCCUGAGUCAAGUGUGUAAGACCCAGCCCACCACCCUCGACCUAGGGCCAGCGUGCAGACUCAGCGUGCUCACGUGCUGGACACUCACCACGGGCACACCCCCAGUUUGGGUGCUCCCUGCUCAGUCCUGUGCUUUUGUGACGUGUUUGCUUAGACCAUUUCCCCUAUGUCCAUCACCUCACCCCCUCUUGUCAAGAACAGUGAGUGGCAGGAUUCAGGUGCCCGCUGUGGAAGCCCGAGGGCAAAGCCAGACUUACCUGUGAGCUGGGCGCAGCGUUACCCUCUGGGCCUGCCUCCUGCUCCCGGGUGUGGUUUCUAGGGCGAUGCCCCCUGAGCCCUUGAAGCCCCUUGCAGCAAGACCUGCCUGGGGCCACAGAGACCCCGUGUUCCCACUCUCCCAGGGUGGACCGGCCCUGGUGGGGGGCGGGGGCUUCCGGGCUCUGCCUCUGGCAGCCGCCCUUCCUGACUGCCCUCAGAUCCCGCUUUCCCUCGCGGAUCAGCCCCCGCCCACUGCUGAGUCAAGUUCAAACCGCGUCCCAACUCCCGGGGCAACUUUCAUGUGGUUUCUGUCUAAUCUGAAAACACCUCCUUCCCCAUUGUCUUUGUAUUUGCGGACUGUUUCUGAAGUCACCUUCGAAAACCCUAGUGCCUAGGAAAGUACAUAUUUCAUGUGUGUGCAGUCGGUGUGUCUACACAGGAUUCCCUCCGAGGGGCCGGGGCCUGGCUCGCCGGCAGAGGAUGGGGCAAGAGUGGAGACCACGCCUCUCUCGGAGCCGGGAACCGGCCAGUCCACGGCAUCCGGGUGGAAAGUGCAUUUGCACUGAUGGCCUUGUGUGCUCUGUGUGUGUUGCCUCAUUUAAAGCUCACUUCACCCCGGGGACCUGCUUGUCCCUGAGGGAGAAGAGGAACCGAUUCUGGGAGGCUCAGUGCCUUGAGUACCAGGGCCAGCCGACUGCCACAUGCUGGGCCUUCUGGUCCUCAAGCCACCUCCCAGGCCGGAUGCAGGGCUCCACUCUCAGAACGGAUGCAGGCGGGGCUCCCUGGCGCAGGGCUGGGCGCCUGAGAGCCUGAGAGCCGGGCUGGUUCCUCCAGGGAGCGGGUCUGCUGGUGGUGCACAUUGGUGCGAAUUCCUCUCCAGAUGCCCAAGAAGCUGCACCUUGCGUGUCCGCUCCGUGUGCGGGAGAGACAGCCGCACGCACCUCAUCCCAGUCCGUGCAGUCCCGGGCUUUCUUCCUGCUGGGAGCAGUGCCGCCCGCCUCAGAACCUUCCCUUGGAUAGAUUUAAAUGAUGCUUCACGUUUGACAAGUUACACUUGUGGUUUUCAAAAGAAAUCAUUUUUUUGUGAAGAACUACCUUUC